rnacentral:rRNA from 1 species
AGAGUUUGAUCCUGGCUCAGGAUUAACGCUGGCGGCAUGCCUAAUACAUGCAAGUCGAACGAAAAAUAUAGAAGUGCUUGCACAUUUAUAUUUUUAGUGGCGAACGGGUGAGUAAUAUAUAGAUAACCUGCCUUAAAGUUGGGGAUAACAGAGGGAAACCUCUGCUAAUACCGAAUACGAUAACUAGACGCAUGUUUAGUUAUUAAAAGGGGCUCCAAAGCCCCGCUCUAAGAGGGGUCUAUAUCGCAUUAGCUAGUUGGUAAGAUAACAGCCUACCAAGGCGAUGAUGCGUAGCUGUACUGAGAGGUAGAACAGCCACAUUGGGACUGAGAUACGGCCCAAACUCCUACGGGAGGCAGCAGUAGGGAAUUUUCGGCAAUGGGGGGAACCCUGACCGAGCAAUGCCGCGUGAUUGAAGAAGAUCUUCGGAUCGUAAAGAUCUGUUAUUAGGGAAGAAUGGAAUUGAUAGGAAAUGAUCAAUUUAUGACGGUGCCUAAUGAGGAAGCCCCGGCUAACUAUGUGCCAGCAGCCGCGGUAAUACAUAGGGGGCGAGCGUUAUCCGGAAUUAUUGGGCGUAAAGGGUACGUAGGCGGGCCUGCAAGUCUGAUCUGAAAGCACACGGCUUAACCGUGUGAGGUAAUUAGAAACUACAGGUCUAGAGAGUGGUAGAGGUAAAUGGAAUUCCAAGUGGAGCGGUGAAAUGCGUAGAGAUUUGGAGGAACACCAGUGGCGAAGGCGGUUUACUGGGCCACAUCUGACGCUGAUGUACGAAAGCGUGGGGAGCAAACAGGAUUAGAUACCCUGGUAGUCCA